rnacentral:rRNA from 1 species
AUGAACGCUGGCGGCGUGCCUAAUACCUGCCAGUCGAGCGAACAGAUAAGGACCUUGCUCCUUUGACGUUAGCGGCGGCCGGGUGAGUAACACGUGGGUAACCUACCUAUAAUACUGGAAUAACUCCGGGAAACCGGGGCUAAUGCCGGAUAACAUUUAUAACCGCUUGUUUCUAAAGUGAAAGUUGGUUUUGCUAUCACUUAUAGAUGGAUCCUCGCCGUAUUAGCUAGUUGGUAAGGUACCGGCUUACUAAGGCAACGAGACGUAGCCAACCUGAGCGGGGGAUAGGCGACAUGGGAACGGAGCCACGGUCAAGAGGCCUAAGGGAGGCAGCAGUAGGGAAUGGGAGGCAAUGGGCGAAAGCAUGACGGAGCAACGGGGAGUGAGUGAUGAAGGUGUUGGGAGCGUAAAACUGUGUUAUGAGGGAAGAACAAAUGUGUAAGUAACUGAGCACGUAGUGACGGUACCGAAUCAGAAAGCAACGGCUAACUACGUG